rnacentral:rRNA from 1 species
GAUCCUGGCUCAGAAUCAACGCUGGCGGCGUGCCUAACACAUGCAAGUCGAACGCGAAAGGGGAGCAAUCCCUGAGUAGAGUGGCAAACGGGUGAGUAACACGUGGGUGACCUGCCUUCGAGUGGGGGAUAACGUCCCGAAAGGGACGCUAAUACCGCAUGACAUCCUGCUUUUGGAGAAGCGGAGAUCAAAGCUGGGGAUCGCAAGACCUGGCGCUUGAAGAGGGGCCCGCGCCUGAUUAGCUAGUUGGUGAGGUAACGGCUCACCAAGGCGACGAUCAGUAUCCGGCCUGAGAGGGCGGACGGACACACUGGGACUGAGACACGGCCCAGACUCCUACGGGAGGCAGCAGUGGGGAAUUGUUCGCAAUGGGCGCAAGCCUGACGACGCAACGCCGCGUGGAGGAUGAAGAUUUUCGGAUCGUAAACUCCUGUCGAGUGGGAAGAACAGCUUCUGGGUGAACAAUCCGGGAGCCUGACGGUACCACUAAAGGAAGCCCCGGCUAACUCCGUGCCAGCAGCCGCGGUAAUACGGGGGGGGCAAGCGUUGUUCGGAAUUACUGGGCGUAAAGGGCUCGUAGGCGGCCAACUAAGUCGGAUGUGAAAUCCCCAGGCUCAACCUGGGAACUGCAUCCGAUACUGGAUGGCUUGAAUUCGGGAGAGGGAUGCAGAAUUCCAGGUGUAGCGGUGA